rnacentral:lncRNA from 1 species
AGGAGGGGGGCACCAACGACGAAGGAGACGAUAUGGUGGACGAGGUGGAGUACUACUGAAGUCGGGAAUCAAACAGCUUUGCCUGUGCGCGCUAAUCGCAAGAUGCAGCCUACUCUAAGUCUAGGCGGAGCUCUGUCGUGUCCCUUUGUGUGAACCAUCUACCCUAAGUGUCUACUCGUUGUUAUGUAUAAAUUCGGUGUAAUCCGUUUGAACCUUGUUAUUUGCUACUGCACCUUGCGUGCUAUGCUAAUGCUAGUUUUGCUAUCGUAUGGUAAUAAUUGAUGGAUGUCUUCUGUGCUAGUGAAUCACAAUUGUUGCUCACUCUUCGAGAUUCCUAAUCUCUCUAUAGUCUUUAAAUACACCAGAACCUGUUUUUGCCAAAAGCUGUUCUGUUUCUGUAUGUUUGAUUUGUUUCAAGUCUAUCAAUUUUAUUGGCA